GCAGCCUUGCCAAGGUGGCAGUGCCAAGGGAGGCUUGGUGGGCCAGGGGACAAGUAGGCAGACAGUGAGCUGAGCUCGCCAGCAUGUGUCUGUGAAAACAGGGUCCUGUUAUGAACCCCUUGUUCUAUUAGCUCCAACUCUUGAGCUCCCAAGUGCCUCAUUUAGCCCCACACGAAGCUCACUGGAGGGGAGGAGCCAUGGCAGGCUCUCA
rnacentral:lncRNA from 1 species